rnacentral:rRNA from 1 species
UGGGACUACGGCAGGCUUACACAUGCAAGUCGAGGGGUAUGGUAGCAAUACCAGAGACCGGCGCACGGGUGCGUAACGCGUAUGCAAUCUACCUUUUACAGCGGGAUAGCCCAGAGAAAUUUGGAUUAAUACCUCAUAGCAUAGCAGCUUCGCAUGAAGCCACUAUUAAAGUCACAACGGUAAAAGAUGAGCAUGCGUCCCAUUAGCUAGUUGGUAAGGUAACGGCUUACCAAGGCAACGAUGGGUAGGGGUCCUGAGAGGGAGAUCCCCCACACUGGUACUGAGACACGGACCAGACUCCUACGGGAGGCAGCAGUGAGGAAUAUUGGACAAUGGGCGCAAGCCUGAUCCAGCCAUGCCGCGUGCAGGAUGACGGUCCUAUGGAUUGUAAACUGCUUUUGCACAGGAAGAAACACCCCCUCGUGAGGGGGCUUGACGGUACUGUGAGAAUAAGGAUCGGCUAACUCCGUGCCAGCAGCCGCGGUAAUACGGAGGAUCCAAGCGUUAUCCGGAAUCAUUGGGUUUAAAGGGUCCGUAGGCGGACCAGUAAGUCAGUGGUGAAAUCUCCCCGCUCAACGGGGAAACGGCCAUUGAUACUGCUGGUCUUGAAUUAUUAGGAAGUAACUAGAAUAUGUAGUGUAGCGGUGAAAUGCUUAGAGAUUACAUGGAAUACCAAUUGCGAAGGCAGGUUACUACUAAUAUAUUGACGCUGAUGGACGAAAGCGUGGGUAGCGAACAGGAUUAGAUACCCUGGUAGUCCACGCCGUAAACGAUGGAUACUAGCUGUUGGGAGCAAUUUCAGUGGCUAAGCGAAAGUGAUAAGUAUCCCACCUGGGGAGUACGUUCGCAAGAAUGAAACUCAAAGGAAUUGACGGGGGCCCGCACAAGCGGUGGAGCAUGUGGUUUAAUUCGAUGAUACGCGAGGAACCUUACCAAGGCUUAAAUGUAGAUUGACCGGUUUGGAAACAGACUUUUCGCA